rnacentral:rRNA from 1 species
AGUGAACGCUGGCGGUAUGCCUAACACAUGCAAGUCGAACGGCAGCACAGUAAGAGCUUGCUCUUACGGGUGGCGAGUGGCGGACGGGUGAGGAAUACAGCGGAAUCUACUUUUUCGUGGGGGAUAACGUAGGGAAACUUACGCUAAUACCGCAUACGACCUACGGGUGAAAGCAGGGGAUCUUCGGACCUUGCGCGAUUGAAUGAGCCGAUGUCGGAUUAGCGAGUUGGCGGGGUAAAGGCCCACCAAGGCGACGAUCCGUAGCUGGUCUGAGAGGAUGAUCAGCCACACUGGAACUGAGCCACGGUACAGACUCCUACGGGAGGCAGCAGUGGGGAAUAUUGGAAAAUGGGCGGAAGCCUGAUCCAGCCAUACCGCGUGGGUGAAGAAGGCCUUCGGGUUGUAAAGCCCUUUUGUUGGGAAAGAAAAGCAGCAGGUUAAUACCACGCUGUUGUGACGGUACCCAAAGAAUAAGCACCGGCUAACUUCGUG